GAAAAAAACGUCAUAUAUUGUUUUUUGUUGAGCUUGAUUGCAAGCUAUUUCUGAUUAAUAUUUGCAAAUAUAUUUCUUGGUUUUUCUAAUUUCUCUAUAAUCUUCCUAAAUUGAGUUUUAUAUUUUUAAUAACAACUCGUGACGUUUUGCUGAUCUGUUUUAAUUGGUUGCGUUUCAUUGGUAAAUAUUGCGGUGCCAGAUCUGCAGCUUGUUCUUUGCCAACUUUUCACUAUGCACACGUAAUGCUAACGGUUGAAAUGUAUCCAAAAUUACCCUGUUUUGGAUAAUUAUAUAUAUAUAUAUGUAAUAAUGAACUCUGCCAACCGAAUGAAUACGUUGCGUGUUUGUGUGACAGGUAUGACCGUUUCGUCCUCUUAUUUACAGCCUGUAGGUCGUGACCCACGUUUGGAUUGGACACCGAUAUUUGACGUGUGAAGUCGGAGGACUCCUCAUAUACGGAGCAGCGGAGUGUCCCGAACAGACAGACGGAUACACAGAGGAAAAGAGAAGCAGGAAGGAUGUCGUCUACACCCAGCUGUCUCUGUUUCUGCGCCCCGCUGAUGCUGCUGCUGCUGAUGCUGCUGAUGCUGAAUGAUGUGCUGGCCACAUACCACCUCAGUGCCGUAAACCCGGAGCUCAUCACCGCACAGAGUCUGGCUCAGAGCAGGAAUAAUGGUCGAGCUCCGAUCAGGACCCUCAAUCCUGCAAUUCACAGAGGUGAUUACACGUAUAGAGGAGGGUAUCACUACCACUUCCAGCCACCAAGGAUCCCUCCACCGGUAGUGUAUCAUCCUGUUCAUCCUCUCUCUCCUCCAGUGACAUACCACAGACCCUCAGUCCGUAUGCCACCAUAUCAGCACAGGUUCAAGGGCCCGGUGGCUCCACAAAUGCACCAUCACAUGUACAAAGGUUUAUCUCCACCUGUAGCUAACCAUCCACACCAGUGGGUCAAAGGACCGUUUCCUUCCAAAACAAAAGGUCCGUGUCCAACCGUACCGACACCACCCACGACACCUGUGGUGCCACGUUCUACUGCCCCGCCCGCUCUACCAGAGGCAACAGUGCUGCCAACUCUGCCAGCAACUACAGUGGCACCACCAACAACCAUCACUCCGAUGGUGGUGGUGACCACGGGGGCGCCAGUGGAGACCACAGCUGCUGUGACGCUACCGGUCAGUACCCAAAGUGGCCUCAUCACCACCGUCAGUCCAGAGACAGACUCUCAGUGCAGGAGCCGACCUCUGGACCUGGUCUUCAUCAUAGACAGCUCCCGCAGCGUGCGUCCCGGUGAGUUUGAGAAAGUCAAGAUCUUCCUGGCCGACAUGGUCGAUACUUUAGACGUGGGCUCAGACGCCACCAGGGUGGCGGUGGUCAACUACGCCAGCACCGUCAAGAUCGAGUUCUUGCUCAAAGAUCACUUCAACAAGCCCGACAUGAAGAAAGCCGUCUCCCGCAUCGAGCCUUUGGCUGCUGGAACCAUGACCGGCCUCGCCAUCAAGACCGCGAUGAACGAGGCCUUCACAGAACAGUCGGGAGCCCGUCCUCGCUCCAGAAGCAUCUCCAAGGUGGCCAUCAUCGUGACGGACGGGAGACCACAAGACCAGGUGGAGGAAGUGUCUGCUGCCGCCCGAGCUUCUGGCAUCGAGAUCUACGCGGUUGGAGUGGACCGUGCAGACAUACGGUCCCUGGAGCUGAUGGCCAGCGUCCCACUGGAGGACCACGUCUUCUACGUGGAGACAUAUGGCGUCAUUGAGAAGCUUACCUCCAAGUUCAGGGAGACCCUGUGCGGUCUGGACCCCUGUGCCGUGGGACAUGACUGCGAACAUAUUUGUAUCAACAGCAACGCCUCCUUUUACUGCAAGUGCCGGAAUGGUUACAUCCUGAACACAGACCAGAAAACAUGCUCCCUGAAACAGGUGAAGGCGGAGGUGGUGAUGGAUCCCUGUAAAUGUGAGGCCAGACUGGCCUUCCAGAAGCAGGCGCAGGCGGCCAUUCAGCAGCUGACAGCCAAGCAUAUCCUCUCUGUUGUUUCAGAUGGAGUACGUUCCCCUUUUCACAGUUUGACACUGUGUCUGUGUGUGUUUUCAUAAGACUAACGUGACCUCUGUCUCCUCACCUCACAUCCAUCCUUCCCUGGUCUCUGUGCAUGUGUUUGUGAAUGAGUUUCCUUGACUGACGGUCACUAGCUGACGUGUCUGGCAGAAUAGAGCGUCUUGAGAACGUGUUGGGCAGUGUUUAGAUCUGGACUCAAUGGGAGCAGAAUUGUUUCCUGUCGUAAGCAGGAGCCACGGACAACUGCACGGCAGACAUCUGCUUCCUGGAGCUGCUGCGAGGAUUUGAACCCACACACUGAGUGAGACUGUGACUCCAGAACCAGAAUUCCUCUUGUUUCUGACUGCAGGAGCACCGUCAAUGAAUGAUAAUUGAAAUCUGUGCUCAAAGCAGUUUAUUUUUAAUUUCAUUUUUUACCAUCGAACAUGCUGUAAUGCUGAGUUAUUAUUUGUUUUUAUAAUUGUUUCUGUUCAUAUUGUACAUAGAUGAUUUAAAUAGAAAAUCUCAUGUUUAGUUAUAAUUCUGACUUCUGAUAUCUGACUUCAAUUUUUACAAUCUGAAUGAAAGUCAGAAGUAAAAAAAUGA